UUGGAGGGCAAGUCUGGUGCCAGCAGCCGCGGUAAUUCCAGCUCCAAUAGCGUAUAUUAAAGUUGUUGCAGUUAAAAAGCUCGUAGUUGAAUUUCGGGAUCAAUUUAUUGGUCGUGCCAACGGUACGCACUGGUACAAUUGGUUUCUCCCUUCUGACGAAGCAUGAUGUCAUUAAUUUGAUGUCGUGGGGAAUCAGGACUGUUACUUUGAAAAAAUUAGAGUGUUUAAAGCAGGCUUUGGCUUGAAUACAUUAGCAUGGAAUAAUGAAAUAGGACGUUUGAUCUUAUUUCGUUGGUUUCUAAGAUCGACGUAAUGAUUAAUAGGGAUAGUUGGGGGCAUUAGUAUUCAAUUGUCAGAGGUGAAAUUCUUGGAUUUAUUGAAGACUAACUACUGCGAAGGCAUUUGCCAAGGAUGUUUUCAUUAAUCAAGAACGAAAGUUAGGGGAUCGAAGACGAUCAGAUACCGUCGUAGUCUUAACCAUAAACUAUGCCGACUAGGGAUCGGAUGAUGUUAAUUUUUUAAUGACUCAUUCGGCGCCUUACGGGAAAC
rnacentral:rRNA from 1 species